AUUGAACGCUGGCGGCAUGCCUUACACAUGCAAGUCGAACGGCAGCAUGGAGAGCUUGCUCUCUGAUGGCGAGUGGCGAACGGGUGAGUAAUGCAUCGGAACGUACCGUGUAAUGGGGGAUAACGUAGCGAAAGUUACGCUAAUACCGCAUACGACCUGAGGGUGAAAGCAGGGGAUCGCAAGACCUUGCGUUAUACGAGCGGCCGAUGUCAGAUUAGUUAGUUGGUGAGGUAAAGGCUCACCAAGGCGACGAUCUGUAGCGGGUCUGAGAGGACGAUCCGCCACACUGGGACUGAGACACGGCCCAGACUCCUACGGGAGGCAGCAGUGGGGAAUUUUGGACAAUGGGGGCAACCCUGAUCCAGCCAUGCCACGUGAGUGAAGAAGGCCUUCGGGUUGUAAAGCUCUUUCGGCCGGGAAGAAAUCGCACAGGCUAAUACUCUGUGUGGAUGACGGUACCGGCAUAAGAAGCACCGGCUAACUACGUGCCAGCCGCCGCAGUAA
rnacentral:rRNA from 1 species